rnacentral:rRNA from 1 species
CCCUUAGAUGUUCUGGGCCGCACGCGCGCUACACUGAUGCGUUCAACAAGUUUCCUUGGCCGAGAGGCCUGGGCAAUCUUCUUAAUAUGUAUCGUGAUAGGGAUAGAUUAUUGCAAUUAUUAAUCUUGAACGAGGAAUUCCUAGUAAACGCAGAUCAUCAAUCUGCAUUGAUUACGUCCCUGCCCUUUGUACACACCGCCCGUCGCACCUACCGAUUGGAUGUUCCGGUGAAGUCUCGGGAUGAGGACUGGUGCCUUUAUUGGCAUGAGUUGUUCAGAACUUGUCUAAACCUUAUCAUCUAGAGGAAGGUGAAGUCGUAACA